rnacentral:rRNA from 1 species
AACGAACGCUGGCGGCAUGCCUAACACAUGCAAGUCGAACGAGACCUUCGGGUCUAGUGGCGCACGGGUGCGUAACGCGUGGGAACCUGCCCUUAGGUUCGGAAUAACUCCCCGAAAGGGGUGCUAAUACCGGAUAAUGUCUUCGGACCAAAGAUUUAUCGCCUUUGGAUGGGCCCGCGUUGGAUUAGCUAGUUGGUAGGGUAAAAGCCUACCAAGGCGACGAUCCAUAGCUGGUCUGAGAGGAUGAUCAGCCACACUGGGACUGAGACACGGCCCAGACUCCUACGGGAGGCAGCAGUGGGGAAUAUUGGACAAUGGGCGAAAGCCUGAUCCAGCAAUGCCGCGUGAGUGAUGAAGGCCUUAGGGUUGUAAAGCUCUUUUAACCGGGAUGAUACUGACAGUACCGGGAGAAUAAGCUCCGGCUAACUCCGUG